CUGUCAAAUACACUGGAAGCAAGACUAACCUCAUAACACUUGAAACAGCGUGGAAUCCAGCGUGGAGACGCCUAUCAGUUCACGUCUUCAGAGGCAGAUUCACGUCGUUCUUCCUCCUUCAGCUCCAGUCAAGGAGCUGCUGAAGCGACCAUGGAGUGGACUCAAUUCUACGUUUCAUGGUGGAAGCUCUCGGGACUUUUACUCGCUCCUGAGCAGCAAGAGCCGGCAAAGGUGUUGAUGAGGAGAUCUCAAGCAGGUGUGGAUGCUGCAGAGCUCAUCAAUCAUGCCCACUCAUUGGAAACCUGCAGCUCUAGAGGAAGAGCGCACAGGAAACCCAACACACUCACAAAACAACCAUGACAGCUGCAGACACAUUCUAACACACAGCUGAUGUGAGAUCAGGAUCUACUAGCAGGCUUUGUGUCUUUUUACUCAGUUAAGAUCAUGGAGCAUGUGGGUGGAUGAACAUCGGCUCCCCAUGAGAUUUCUUGUCUUGAGCAACUCAGUCAUUGAGGAGUUACAAUUUGCUGCUUGGUGGAGCCCCUGGGGAGUUGUUGUUGUUCACACACAUUCACCUGUUUCUCUCUCUCUCACACACCCACACACACCCACACACACUCAGGGAGGGACCUCACAAAUAUGUUAUGCCGAAUUUGUGGGAAGGUGGAUGUAAAUAUCCCAUCUCUAACCAACCAUAAGCAGUUGCUGCUAGUUUGGACAUUAUAGGAGAACGGACAGAGGAAACUUUCAGCAAAACAUAAACACUUUAUUUAAAACUUAAAGUUUUAAAUAAUUUUAAAUAAUUUUAUUUCAUGAAAAUCAAACGAUUUUUAUGGAAUACAUUUUUUUUAAAACUUUCAGUCAACCAUUUCAAUCUCAAACUAUACUUAUGGUAUUAUGUAUUUCCCAGGCACAUAGUCCUCUUUUAUAGCACAAUUAAGUAAUUGUGUUAUGCUGAGUUGUUAUGAAAAUGUUGUACAUAUCAAACAAGAAUUAAAUGAAACUUGACUUUGCAAUUUGA